rnacentral:rRNA from 1 species
CGAAGCCUGACGGAGCAAUACCGCGUGAGGGAAGAAGGCUUUUGGGUUGUAAACCUCUUUUGUCAGGGAAGAAGAAUUGACGGUACCUGAAGAAAAAGCAUCGGCUAACUCCGUGCCAGCAGCCGCGGUAAUACGGAGGAUGCAAGCGUUAUCCGGAAUCAUUGGGCGUAAAGGGUCCGCAGGUGGCGAAUAAAGUCUGCUGUUAAAGACCGGGGCUAAACUCCGGAAAGGCAGUGGAAACUGAUUAGCUAGAGUACGGUAGGGGUAGAGGGAAUUCCCAGUGUAGCGGUGAAAUGCGUAGAUGUUGGGAAGAACACCGGUGGCGAAAGCGCUCUACUAGGCCGAAACUGACACUGAGGGACGAAAGCCAGGGUAGCGAAAGGGAUUAGAUACCCCUGUAGUCUUAGCUGUAAACGAUGGAUACUAGGCGUAGCUUGUAUCGACCCGAGCUGUGCCGAAGCUAACGCGAUAAGUAUCCCGCCUGGGGAGUACGCACGCAAGUGUGAAACUCAAAGGAAUUGACGGGGGCCCGCACAAGCGGUGGAGUAUGUGGUUUAAUUCGAUGCAACGCGAAGAACCUUACCAGGGCUUGACAUGUCGCGAAUCUGGCGGAAACGUUAGAGUGCCUUAGGGAACGCGAACACAGGUGGUGCAUGGCUGUCGUCAGCUCGUGUCGUGAGAUGUUGGGUUAAGUCCCGCAACGAGCGCAACCCUCGCCCUUAGUUGCCAAUAUUAAGUUAGGCACUCUAGGGAGACUGCCGGGGACAACUCGGAGGAAGGUGGGGAUGACGUCAAGUCAGCAUGCCCCUUACGUCCUGGGCGACACACGUACUACAAUGGUUGGGACAAAGGGCAGCAAGCUCGCGAGAGUAAGCGAAUCUCAUCAAACCCAGCCACAGUUCAGAUUGCAGGCUGCAACUCGCCUGCAUGAAGUAGGAAUCGCUAGUAAUCGCAGGUCAGCAUACUGCGGUGAAUUCGUUCCCGGGCCUUGUACACACCGCCCGUCACAUCAUGGAAGCUGGCUACGCCCGAAGUCGUUACCCUAACCCGGUUUUGGGAGGGGGAUGCCGAAGGUAGAGCUAGUGACUGGGGUGAAGUCGUAACAAGGUAGCUGCACCGGAAGGUGUGGCUGGAUCACCUCCUUU